rnacentral:rRNA from 1 species
UACGAAGGGGGCUAGCGUUGUUCGGAAUCACUGGGCGUAAAGGGCGCGUAGGCGGCCGAUCAAGUCGGGGGUGAAAGCCUGCGGCUUAACCACAGAAUGGCCUUCGAUACUGUUUGGCUUGAGACCGGAAGAGGUUAGUGGAACUGCGAGUGUAGAGGUGAAAUUCGUAGAUAUUCGCAAGAACACCAGUGGCGAAGGCGGCUGACUGGUCCGGUUCUGACGCUGAGGCGCGAAAGCGUGGGGAGCAAACAGG